rnacentral:rRNA from 1 species
GACGAACGCUGGCGGCGUGCUUAACACAUGCAAGUCGAACGGAAAGGCCCUGCUUUUGUGGGGUGCUCGAGUGGCGAACGGGUGAGUAACACGUGAGUAACCUGCCCUUGACUUUGGGAUAACUUCAGGAAACUGGGGCUAAUACCGGAUAGGAGCUCCUGCUGCAUGGUGGGGGUUGGAAAGUUUCGGCGGUUGGGGAUGGACUCGCGGCUUAUCAGCUUGUUGGUGGGGUAGUGGCUUACCAAGGCUUUGACGGGUAGCCGGCCUGAGAGGGUGACCGGCCCCAUUGGGCCUGAGAUACGGCCCAGACUCCUACGGGGGGCAGCAGUGGGGAAUAUUGCACAAUGGGCGGGGGCCUGAUGCAGCAACGCCGCGUGCGGGAUGACGGCCUUCGGGUUGUAAACCGCUUUCGCCUGUGACGAAGCGUGAGUGACGGUAAUGGGUAAAGAAGCACCGGCUAACUACGU